rnacentral:rRNA from 1 species
UGUCUCAAGAUUAGCCAUGCAUGCGUAGGUCUAUGGCUCCCUUGGGAUGCCAGAGACUGCAGACGGCUCAUUAUCUCAGUGAGAAUCUACUUUGCGAACACUCGAACUGGAUAAUUGCGGGAAUUCUGCGACUAAUACAAUUCGCUCGCUGGGGUAUCCGGCUCUCGACCAACCGCCUUGUGCGUCUUGUGUUGAAUCACGGAUUCCCUUCGUCGAUUCUAUCGACACGCAAAAUGGAUUUCUGCCCUAUCAACUAGACGGUUGGCUCUGGGCCUACCGUGGUUACAACGGGUGACGGGGAAUGAGGGUUCGACCCCGGAGAGGGAGCCUGAGAGACGGCUACCACAUCUAAGGAAGGCAGCAGGCGCGCAAAUUACCCAAUUCCUACUUGGGAGAGGUAGUGACAAGAUAUAACAAUAUCGGGCUCUAAGAGUCUGGUAAUUGCAAUGAGCAGUGCUUAAACCCAUCUGCAAGGAACAAUUGGAGGGCAAGUCUGGUGCCAGCAUCUGCGGUAAUUCCAGCUCCAAUAGCGUAUAUGUAAAUUGCUGCGGUUGAAACGCUCGUAGUUGGACUUCUGGCGUCGGAAUUCGGUUCAUUUCAUGUGAUACUGGAUUCCGUCGUCGUUUUUGUCGACGGGUUUCGUUGGGCUUAAUUGUCUGGCGAUCUUCUGUCGGCGAUGUUACUUUGAGGAAAUCAGAGUGCUCAAAGCAAGCGUUCGCUCGUGACUUCACUAGCAUGGAAUAACACAGAUGGGCUCUGUCUCGCAACGUUGGUCUGCGUCAAUUGAGCAACGAUCGAUAGAGACGGUCGGGGGCAUUCGUAUUGCGCAGUUAGAGGUGAAAUUCUCCGAUCUGCGUAAGACGCACUAGUGCGAAAGCAAUUGCCAAGGACGUUCUCUUAUGAUCAAGAGCGAAAGUCGGGGGGAUCAAAGAUGAUUAGAUACCGUCGUAGUCCCGACCAUAAAUGAUGCCGACUGAGCGUUGGCAACUCGGCUUCUGCCGGAUGUCAGCGCUCUUGAGAGAAAUUAAAGUCUUUGGGCUCCGGGGGUAGUAUGGUCGCAAGUCUGAAACUUGAAGGAAUUGACGGAAGGGCACCACAAGGCGUGGAUGUUGCGGCUUAAUUUGACUCAACACGGGAAAGCUUACUAGGUUUGGACACUUGAAUGAGGGACAUAUUGAAGCUCUUACCUUAUCUUGUGGAUGGUGGUGCAUGGUCGUUCUCAGCCCGUGGGUUGACCUGUCAGGUUUACUCCGGUAACGCGCGAGACCUCGGUUUGCUAAAUAGACGUGGCUGUCUCGGCACCCACGUUCUUCUUAGAGAGAGACUCGAUGAGAAUCGAGGGAAGUCGAGGCAAUAACAGAUCUGUGAUGCCCUUAGUUAUCCUAGGUCGCACGCGCCAUACAAUGUGGCGCACAACGAGUUUCCUAGGCCGAUAGGAUUGUCUCUUAGCCUGUUGUCUUUGGGACCGAGGCAAUAUCAUUGCACACAGUAGUUUCGAUCAUGUGUCGUUGCUUAUUUGUGAUGCUGGUGGUUGUGUCUCAGCUAAGAGACUCUGGGCAAUCUGAGAGAGCGCUACGUGACUGGGCUAGACUUUUGUAAUUGUUGGUCUUGAACGAGGAAUGCCUAGUAAUCGUAGGUCAUUAUCCUGCGAUGAUUAUGUCCCUGCCCUUUGUACACACCGCCCGUCGCUCCUGCCGUGGCUCGUGCCGGUGAAGAGGGGGAGGCAGCGUCAACGGAGUAACAUCUGAUUGUACGUGGAACCCCUCUGAACCUUCGCGAGUAGAGGAAGGAGAAGUCGA